AUGUGUGUGUGUGUGUGUGUGUGUGUGUGUGUGUGUGUGUGUGUGUGUGUGUGUGUGUGUAUACAGUCUCGGUGGUGGCGAUUUCAAGUCAAGCCCAGGGAUUGGUGGGAUUUCAAGCUCAGGGGUUGGUAGGCUCGGACCUUUUACUCUACAUUUACAGAUAAAAAUAUUAGGUGACUGUAAGCCAGGUGGAUCCCCAAACCCAAGGAGGUAGAAAGGGCCCUUAAAUUCCCUUUACCUAAAGCCUAGCCCUAAUUCACCCUGGGGACCAGCAGCCAGGUGAGAAGAUGUACUCCUUGGGGCCCUGGCUAGAGGAAGCAAUGUUUACUGUCUGGAAAGAGCAGAGGCACAGCAUCCAGGCAAUGGAUUCUAAUCAGUUCUGCCAGCGUCUGGGCUGGGCCAAGGCCGUCCUGGUCCUUAGAGGUCAACCCAAUGCAGAGCCUCUGGAGUGGGGGGUGGGGGUAACAGCAAGGAGUAGGUUUGAGAGAGGGUCUUUCUGUUCCAUUGUAACAAGUCUCUGCUCUCUGGGCUGCCAUUGAUCCUGCCUGCUACAUGCUCUCUGGGCACCUUUGGGUGACCCGUAAGUGCUCCCCAGAACAGACCUGGAGACCUGCUCUACAAUGACAGACAAGGAUACUGGGAGAUGCACCUGCUUCCCAUUAUGGUAUAAGGAUGCAUUCCAAGGUCCCAGCCAGGGUGUGGGGGUUUCAAGGGUGACACUCUAAAGGACUUCUCAGAAUGUCCUUAGUGACGUAAGAGUUUCUGGACAUGGUAUAGAGGCUGCCUGGAUGGCAAACUCCCCUGCGUUUGCUUUGUAGCAUUAAGGGAAGGCCUUGGACUUUAGAUCCUCCUUAAUGGGGAAGUUUUGGUCCACUGUAGCUUCUUUUUUAAAAAAAAGAUUUAUUUAUUAUUUUUAUGCGUUCACUGUAGCUCUCUUCAGACACACCAGAAGAGGGCAUCAGAUCCCAUUACAGAUGGUUGUGAGCCACCAUUUAGUUGCCGGGACUUGAAUUCAGGAUCUCUGGAAGAGCAGUCAGUGCUCUUAACCGCUGAGCCAUCUCUCCAGCCCCUCACUUUAGCCUCUAACCAGUGUUGCUGCCCUUGAUGCAAUCACAGAGCCUGGAAUUCCCAUUAGAGAUCUGGGGCUGGCGAAUUCUUGUUUUUUUUUUUUAAGAUUUAUUUUUAUUUUAUGUAUGAGUGCUUUGCCUCUUUGUGUGUAUUCUACGUGCAUACCUGAUGCCCUCAGGGACAGAAGAUGGCAUUGGACCUCCUGGAACUGGAGUUAGGUGCAGUUAUGAGCUACCACGCAGGUGCUUAGAGCCAAACCUUGGUCCUAUGCAAGAGCAAAUGCUCUUAACUGUUGAACCAUCUCUCCAGCCCCUAAUAAACAUUUUUGCAGGGAGCCUUUCAAGAACCCUCCCCACACUCCUGGCUGCUUCCAGUAUCAGACUCAUGCUCUGAGAUCCAAAGGCAGAAGACAGCAGGGAUAGGGGAGCUCAGACUGUGAAAAGGGAACAGAGAGCUCGCUGGCCAGUAUAGCUUACUUGGUGAGAUCCAGGCCACUGAGAGUCCUGGUCUUAGAAGAGGUAGACAGUGGACAAGUGAGUUUAUCCUCUGACCUCUCCAAGCAGGCACAAAGACACACACAUACACAUACACACACACAUAUAUACACACAUACAUGCACACACACACAUACAUACACACACAUAUAAACACACACACAUGCACACACAUGCACACACACGCACAUGCACACACACAAUGCACACACACAUUCACACACAUACACACAUACAUACACACACAUAUAGACACACACACAUGCACAUACACAUCCACACACACACGCACACACACAUGCACACACACGCACUCACACAUACACACACAUACACACAUAUAGACACACACAUGCACACACACAUGCACACACACGCACUCACACAUACACACACAUACACACAUAUAGACACACACACAUGCACACACAUGCACACACACAUACGUGCACACACACAUGUACAUACACACAUGCACACACACAUACGCAUACACCAUCACACAUGCACACACAUGCACAUACACAUACACAUGUGCACACACACACAUAUAUUCAUAAAUGCAUGCAUACAUGCAUUUUUGUUUGUUUUAUCAAGUCAGGGUUUCUCUGUAUAGUCCUGGCCAUCCUGGAACUCGCUCCAUAAACCAGGCUGGCCUCGAACUCAAAGAUCUGCCUGUCUUUACCUCCCAAGUGCUGGGCUUAAAGGCAUGUGCCACCACCACCUGGCUGUACAUGCAUUUUUUUUUAAAGGCAACUUUACUUGUCUCACAGUACAUGUAAUAGCCUGUUCUAGAGGCUGGAAAGUCUUACGAGCAUGUUAUCAGAGAAGAUAUCUCACUGCUUACAACUCCCAGUAAAAACAGGCGAGAGGGCACAGGUGGAAAGGGGAGAAGUCAAGGGGUGGCCUGGCUUUAUAACAGUCUGCUCGGGGAGUCACUAAUACAUUCCUGAUUGAUCAGGAGCUCACAUGUCUGGGGAAAAAAAAAAAAAAACCAAACAACAACCAAAAAACAGAAAUCCCACUUGCUUCUCAAGGCUCCGUUUCUCAAUACUGCUGCAGUGUGUGUUCUGAGAGGUGUGAGAACAAACCAUCCCACUGGGCCGGCGUAGUGGCCCGCACCCGGACAAAAGCUUCCGGGACUGGAAGUAGCCUUUGCACUGGAGUCUAGGGAUGGGGAGGAUGAGGAAGCCUGAAGUCAGUUGAUGGGACCUUCCUUUCUGCAUUAAAGUUGAAUUGACUUGUCUAUUCGGAGACCCCAUUCUUCUCUUCUGUGAGAAACCAGACCUCCACAAGGCCCUUAUGCUCCCUACCCACCUCAGACUGUCCCGUCCACCUCAUUCCUGCCUCCCUGACCCUGCCGUUGGGAAUCACCUGGGACAGCGGGUGAGUCAGACGCUCCAUUUGGACUCAGGCAAGGAAGCUGGUCAGAGGAUGGGAUGGGAGAUUUCAGGGUGGGGAACGAAGGGUUGUCAAUGCUCAUGCUUGGGUGAGGAAGAGACCAGGACUGGAGAUGCUCUUGCCUGAACAGGGCGUGGUUGUUCUCAGGGUGGGAUGUACCCAGAAACCUAGAGAUGGUAUCUAGGCUUCUGCAGAGAAAUCAGCACAAUGAGAAUAAUGAGGUGAGUGAAUGACAAAUGACUGUGUCACCAAAUCAGGGAGUCAGUGAAUGUUUCCGGACCCUACACAGGCCACCACUGGCUCUAGCACCUUUUCUCAUGGCUACUUAAUUAAUUCCCUCUCAGCCUUUCAAAUGUGGCUUAAGUGGCCCCUCUACCACUGGCCACCAAAAGAUGUGUGUUCCACCCCGAUGGUGAUCUUCCUUGGUACGAAAGCCUUCUGUUCAUCAAAGUAACUCAGAGCCAGGAAUUUAGAUUUCACCAAACCCUGGAAAUCUUGUUCGGAGAUCGCUAGGAGUAGGAUCACUCUCCCACUGUUCCUGGCCUGUUUGUCCCAGUUCACAUAGUCCUGUGCCCACAACCUUUGUCUCACUAGAGAUCACAGUAGCUGCUAGCCAGGUACACUCACUCUGAUAGCCCUUACCCCACAAUGGUUUAAAUAGAUUUUGUUUCCCCCACCCCCCAACCCCCAAUGAACUGAACCAGUUCUCUGAAGCUGUUCUCAGGGAUGCGUUUUUUUGCCCUUGGGCGGCACUCACUGCCACCCAAGUUCCUGCCUGCAUCCACCUGCUUGAGGGAGCUUCCCUCCCUCCAGCCAGAUUGAUCAGCUGGCCUGGCUUGGUCAGGGGGAGGGAAGAAGCAGACACAGGGCGGCAGCUGGUGCCCAACCUAGUUGUUUCAGGUCCUCUGGUGUGAACUGGAAAUUUAAGGGUUCUUUGGAAAGCCACUAUGUCAGAUGAUUUUUUUUUUGUUCUUUUUUUCGGAGCUUGGGAUCGAACCCAGGGCCUUGCGCUUCCUAGGCAAGCGCUUUACCACUGAGCUAAAUCCCCAACCCCUCAGAUGAUGUUUUGCUGGGGGCAAACACUGCUUUCCUGAAGCAAACACAGGUAGAAGGAUGUUUGGCUAAGAAGACUCAUGAAGGAACAUUUUACUGAAGCAGACACGGGUGAGGGGGCGUUUUGCUAAAGCAAACACAAUGAAAGUUCUCAAGCAUGCAAUAGGGUAAAGGAUUCUACGCUAAGGACAUGAAUGUAUUGGUCUGCCUUUCGUUGCAUAGCUGGGAUCCAUUUACUGUGGCUCCAUAGAGAGAAAUGCACCAAAAAACAUUUGAUGGUAUGCUGUGGCUUCUUGCUGCUUCUGCAGACUUGGCCAAUUGACAGAGUGAUGCCACCUGAGACAAACUCAUGUCGCGUUUUGCUAGCUCAGACUCGCAUGGUGAGGCAAGACCCAUGGAGGACACACGAUGUUUGGCUUCAAUGAUGCAGCAGAGAACUUCUCCUGGUGUUCCUGCUGGCCUCAGUUCCUCCUGCUGACACACGCCAAUUCAGCCUGAGGCCUUCCUGGCUAUCUCUGCUAGGUCUUGCCACCACUGCUGAUUCUGUGUUUGCUAUCCCAACUCUACGGAACUGGACGGCUGGUGUAUUGGGUCUACUCGUGAACUGAGCUGCUGCAGCUGACCCACAAACUGAACCGCUGAUUUCCUAACGACGCAGAUGGGGUUUGCUCCAGUGAACCAUUUCUAAACAGGUCCACUUCGCCUGUAUCCCAAUAACCUUUUCUACUACUGCUGGUGGGUGAUAGGCUAGAAGGGAGAAUGUAAUGACCAUUAUUAAAAGCAGGUUUUGAAAAAAUA